AUUGAACGCUGGCGGCAGGCCUAACACAUGCAAGUCGAACGCGUGGCGGACGGGUGAGUAAUGUCUGGGACACUGCCUGAUGGAGGGGGUUAAUUCCUGGAAACGGUAGCUAAAACCGCAUAGCAUUCGAUGUGCCCUGGAUGUAUUAGCUAGUAGGUGGGGUAAAGGCUCACCUAGGCAACGAUCCCUAGCUGGUCUGAGAGGAUGACCAGCCACACUGGAACUGAGACACGGUCCAGACUCCUACGGGAGGCAGCAGUGGGGAAUAUUGCGCAAUGGGCGAAAGCCUGAUACAGCCAUGCCGCGUGUGUGAAGAAGGCCUUCGGGUUGUAAAGUACUUUCAGCGGGGAGGCGUUACCCGAUGAAGAAGCCCCGGCUAACUCCGUGCCAGCCGCCGCGGUAAUAC
rnacentral:rRNA from 1 species